CAAAGAGUAGACGCAACGGCACAACGCAAGCGCGCGCUCUGCAACUAACCAAGAAGAGGGGAGAGGCAAAGCGCAGAGCGAAGCCAAGAAGAUGGCCGCGGCUGCCGCCGUCCCGGACGGCGUCUCCUCCUGCGGGAGCACCAACAUGCGCCGCGCCGACCACCUUCCUCAGCUCCCGAUUCCGCUGCCCUGCAUGGGCGAGCCCACCGCCGCCUCCCGCGUCUCGCCGGGCUCCUCCCCGGCCCGCUCCGAGGCCUCGCGAGGCGCCCCCUGCUACAACGCCGACGCCGAGCCGGACCCGGACCCGGAGCCGGAGCCCGAGGCGUCCGUGGGGCGGAGCACGCAGAUGCUGCUCGCGAUGGCCGCCAUGGGCGGGCACGGCGGGCACUACGGCCGCCGCCCGGCCUCGUCCUACGGCAGCUGCGCCGCGUGGAGCGCCGGGUCGCUCACCAGGCACCGCCCCGCAUCGCCGUCCCCGAUCUGCAGCCCCGCGAACAGCCACGACGGCGGCGGCGAGGAGGAGGAGGACCGCGAACCGCACGGCGGUGACGACGCCUCCUCGUUUGUCACGCCACGGGUGGAAGAAGAGCAAGGCAGGACCAGAGCAGAUUUCAUGAAUCCUUCUGCUAUGCCACGGAAUAUCAGACUGCAGACACCCAGGCACCCUUCUCUGCUGGAUAGGAGAGUUGAAGGCGCCAAUCAAAUGCCUCCGAGAUUCAUCCACAAGACCACACCAGCUAGAUUUAUGCGCCGAGUUCGCUCCUCACGUAAUUUCCGACAGCGCGUGGAUGCAUUAGAUGCUACCAAUGAAUGGAGAUUGCCCAAAGUCAGUGAAGGGGAUGACGAGGGAGGUGAUAAAAAAGACUGGCAGAGCAAUACCGUGUCAUCUCGCGUAUCUUCAGCCCGUGAUUGGAAUUUUGAGUCUGACGGUGCCUAUCAGGGUAGCAAUCGUAGUGAUCGUGCAUUUGGCGAUUCAGAUGGUGAGAACUGUCCAGUUGAAGUGCAAAGGACAGAGAGAUGGACCCCGAGCUCCGUGUUAAAACCCCAAGGCAAUUUAGUCCAUGCUAAGUUGGUUGCCUGGAAGGAUGCGCAGAUUGCAAAGCUCAUAGAAAACCUGAAAUUGUGUUUUGAAGUUACAAGCUCAAUUCAUUACUGGUGUUAUGGUGUGGGUAUGAAAACAUGGACUCCUGCUGAAAAAGAAAGAAGCCGAUAUUGAUGAUUGGCAGAGGAAGAAGACCAUAAAGGCCAGGCAGAAGAUGAGAAGCGCUGAGUUGAAGCUGGAGAAGAAGAGAGCGGAAAUCGCAGAAAAGAUGCAAAAGGCAAUAAAGCGUGCACAAAAAAAGGCUGAUAAGAAGAAAGUCAAGGAGCAGGUAGCCACUAAAGUUCAGAUUGAUGGUGUUGAGAGAGCAUUGGAUAAGAUGUCAAGGACAGGAAAACUCCCCUGGUCACUGGCUUUUCUGUGAUCCAGCUCUUCGUAUGUGCCUGUCCUAGAUAAGCUGGUUUGCCGAACUGUGGAAGCUACUGGUGGUGGCAGCAUGGCAAGAGCAAUACGAGUGAAAUCAGCUGCUAAAUGAUUGAAAUCGGCAAAUUGCGUAUUAAGGAAAAGAGAAGAGGAUAUGCUGGUGAUUGACCAUUCUUUGGCAAUGAAAGUUUUGGCUUAUGUAACACUAUGAUUUGUUUGAGGCAAUAGUUACUAGCAAUCGAACACUGUUUUUGAACACGACAUGGAUAACUCGAGGUGAAUUUUUUGGUACAUUACUGUAUGUUGUCCGAUAACUCUUCUAGUGUUCUGACAUCUGAGACAAACAUUCUUGAUCCUUACAGCUGUGCUGUGAUAGUGUA